rnacentral:rRNA from 1 species
AUUGAACGCUGGCGGCAGGCCUAACACAUGCAAGUCGAGCGGUUGAGGUAGCUUGCUACCGAAGCAGCGGCGAACGGGUGAGUAAUACAUGGGAAUCUGCCUGGUAGUGGGGGACAACGUUUCGAAAGGAACGCUAAUACCGCAUACGCCCUACGGGGGAAAGGGGGGGAUCUUUGGACCUCUCGCUAUCAGAUGAGCCCAUGUCAGAUUAGCUAGUUGGUAGGGUAAAGGCCUACCAAGGCGACGAUCUGUAACUGGUCUGAGAGGAUGAUCAGGCAAACUGGAACUGAGACACGGUCCAGACUCCUACGGGAGGCAGCAGUGGGGAAUAUUGGACAAUGGGGGCAACCCUGAUCCAGCCAUGCCGCGUGUGUGAAGAAGGCCUUAGGGUUGUAAAGCACUUUCAGUGGGGAGAAAAGUGAUUCACCUAAUACGUGAGUCAAUUGAUGUUACCCACAGAAGAAGCACCGGCUAACUCCGUGCCAGCCGCCGCCGUAACAC